GUGCUCGCUUCGGCAGCACAUAUACUAAAAUUGGAACGAUACAGAGAAGAUUAGCAAAAAAAAAAGAAAAAAAAAAAAAAUUUUAGAUAAGUUGUGCUAUUCU
rnacentral:snRNA from 1 species